rnacentral:misc_RNA from 1 species
CUCCUUUCCCUUUCUCCAAUGGAAAACUAAUAAAAUGCUCAUAAAUUUGCCCAAAUGCAAGCUAUUCUUUCUGAUAGAAGAAAACCAUCAUUAAUUUUGUGAAAAAAUCCAACCUAAGAGCAAUUAACUAUGUACUAAGAUGCCAUUUCUUCCUCUUCUUUAUCUCCAUUUAAACAUCAUGAAAUGUGCAUAAAAAAUACAAUUUUUCGCCGCCCUAUCUUUCUCAUUAGAUCAAAUGAUUAGCACUCAAUUUUGAAAGUGGUGAUGAACCAUUACAGCUUUUUUCCUCAGUUGCAGCUGCUUUCAGGAAUUGUGUAAAUCUUGCUUAUGGAUAUGUCCAUAUUGCAGUGCUGGUUUAGCUUUGUGUUCAGAUAUUUACUCAAAAUUCCAAUUAGACAGGAGAGCAUUAUUCAGCUGAAACUGAAUUACCGAAUAGAACCAAUGUUAUUAGGUCAAUUCAUUUUUGUUAUUUUAAUUUUCAGUUCAGUUCAGUUUUUAUUUUUUAUUUAUUUUAAAAAUGGAUUUUGGUUAUCAGUUGAGUUUUAAAAUGUUACAGAUGGAUGCAACAAACAAACCAAUCUGUUUUUACAUCAGCUCUAAAUGCACCAUUUUGAAGUUUUUAUUCUUCAUAGCCCUCAAGCCUCACUAUCAAGAUCUGUCAUUCUAUUCCUUUUCUACCCCUAAAACCUAAAACUAUUAUCCCAAAAUUUCUCAAGCUUCCUUUAAAAACCUGCCUCGACUUCACCCUUUUCCAUCUUUAAUCUCUUUUUCUUGGCCAAAUUGAAUGGGCCUUUAUCCUUCACUUUUUCAUUAUCACGGAUUUCGGAUAUCUUUCGGACAUCAUUUGUAUUGAAUGUAUAAUUUCAAGUUUUUGUUUGUUGGGAAUUUUGAGGGUUAUAAGGUAAUAUUACAAUCCCUCUCUCUCUAAGUGUUUGAGUGUGUGUGAGUGUGUGUUGCUAGAAUAAUCAAAUGGGUUGUUCAUGUUCAUCACUGAUUCUCAGAGUUUUAACUACUUUAUAUUAAAUUGUCAUGGGGGCCAUAGGUAUUAAGUUCAAUUGAGGUAAAGAAAGAAACUUGAGUAUAAAAUUGUUGUUUAAAUUUCAACCUUCAUCGCUAUUUCAUGGCCAAAAUAACUGAUGAAACAAAAAUUAUUAGUUAAGUUCAGUUUAAUUUGGCUACAAACCAACUGAACCCACUGAUUACUCACCCCUGGUUAUAUAAAAUGUUAAAUAUUUGGACUCACAUUUGAGUGCAGUUUUAGCUGGAGAAAGAGAAUGGGUAGAGAGGGGGGACAGGGAUGGAUGGGGAGAGAGAGAGAGAGAGGAAGAGCGCGGGGGGGGGGUGGUGG